AAAAUGAAUCGUUUCUUUUUCUCACGCCCCUCUAUGUCUUUGUUAUCAUCCCAAAACGCAAACCCUGUGUUUUUUGUAGCGAGCAACAACGUGAAUCGGGAGAACACAAAAGACGAAAACCGUUUUGCACUGCCGCUCAAUUACCUCAGGUAUUUGGUUCAUAGAUCCACCAAUAAUUUCACAAUUUUUCAAUGAUUUCAUUCAAUAUGUUCAACUAAAUCAUUUUCAAUUUUUGUGUAUCCGAUUUGAAUUACAACAUCAUUCGUGUCCGUACGUCGGCGAAGCAAUUAGAAACCCUAGCUGGUGUCACGUAUCACCAGCAUCAAAGUUUAGAAGGCAUAUGUUGUGUGCUGGAAGAAAGCUAAGCUUCACAUUCUUAAAGUUAUAUCUGGAAUUAUCAGACCAGCAAGGAUGACACUUUUGUUGGGGCCACCAUCUUCUGGUAAGACAACACUUCUGUUGGCUUUGGCGGGAAGAUUCGAUCCGAGCUUAAGAGUUGAAGGGGAGAUAAGUUACAACGGUCAUAAACUCAAUGAGUUUGAGCCUCGAAGGACAGCGACUUACAUCAGUCAGAACGAUAUUCAUGCUAGAGAAAUGACUGUUAAGGAGACCCUUGAUUUCUCGGCAAAAUGCCAAGGCGUUGGAUCUCGUUUAGAAAUGUUAACCGAGCUUGCGAGAAGAGAAAAGGAAGCAGGGAUUAUUCCAGAAGCUGAAGUUGGCCUUUUCAUGAAGGCGACCGCCAUUGAAGGAGAUGAAAGCAGUUUGAUUACUUACUACACUCUAAGAUGCUAAUGGAAGUUUAGAGGAUAUUUUAGAUCAAUCUUCUUCUAAUGCUCGUUGUGUUGAAAAACUAUUGGCUGAAGAAGCUGCAAAAGGACUUUCUAUAUUUGAUGAGCUUCAUGGCACUUUAUCAGCUCAGCAAGGAGAGAUUGCGGUUUUUGCUAGAGAGCUUCGAAAGAGGUUUAAUGAUAGCAUCCACCAUACGACAAAUAUAUCUGAGUUCAUUAACGGUGUAUUUGAUAAGCUAAUGGAAGGAGUGUAUAGCUGAAGGUUUAGAAGAUGCAACACAUCAUCAAGCCAGAUUUAAGCUGGUUUUCAAUUCGCCUGUCAUGAGUCCAUUUGGCCCACAAAAUCAAGCCCAACAAAGGAGAAGUGAAAGAAUUCAGGUCCAGCCAAAGAAAUUUGAUGAUUAUGUGAUGACUGCCAUGUCAGCCACAAUCUAACAGAAUUCGGUUGCACAAGUCUAUUUAAAGUAAUUAUGUAUUGAUCAUGAGGUAGGCAAUUUGUUAGCUCUCAUGAGUCUAUCUUUCCCAUCCCCUUCUUAGAAUUCUCUUUCCCAUCCCGAACUCUCUGUUCUUAAUAAAAAUCAUUCCAAUUAUCCUUGUU